GAUGAACGCUGGCGGCGUGCCUAAUACAUGCAAGUCGAGCGAACAGAUAAGGAGCUUGCUCCUUUGACGUUAGCGGCGGACGGGUGAGUAACACGUGGGUAACCUACCUAUAAGACUGGAAUAACUCCGGGAAACCGGGACUAAUGCCGGAUAACAUUUAGAACCGCAUGGUUCUAAAGUGAAAGAUGGUUUUGCUAUCACUUAUAGAUGGACCCGCGCCGUAUUAGCUAGUUGGUAAGGUAACGGCUUACCAAGGCAACGAUACGUAGCCGACCUGAGAGGGUGAUCGGCCACACUGGAACUGAGACACGGUCCAGACUCCUACGGGAGGCAGCAGUAGGGAAUCUUCCGCAAUGGGCGAAAGCCUGACGGAGCAACGCCGCGUGAGUGAUGAAGGUCUUCGGAUCGUAAAACUCUGUUAUUAGGGAAGAACAAAUGUGUAAGUAACUGUGCACGUCUUGACGGUACCUAAUCAGAAAGCCACGGCUAACUACGUG
rnacentral:rRNA from 1 species